GUCCGUGGCGAUUUGUUACCGGAUUGCGGGCCACGUUAAACAAACCGCUAAAGAGGUCAGGAUGAAA
rnacentral:ncRNA from 1 species